UAUCCAGCUCAUAUCAGAUGUGGACUCAUUCAGCGCAGACUGUGUUCACGAAGCUUGAUUCAUAAACCUGCCUGUUAUCAGCUCAUAGUCUUUAGGAGAAGUAUGAUUAAAAAGGAAACACACACAGCUAGUUAGCUGAGAGUGAGUGGUGGAGGACACAGGUGAAACUAAUGAGACACAGGUGAAACACAUCAGGCCCCAGGUGAUAAAAGGCAACAGGAAGGAACAAAACCCCCUAGACAACAGAGGACAAACCUGCUCGUUUUUACCUCUGUAGAAACAAAUGCCCGACUGAUCUCAGACCUUCAACAACCUUCUGACCAGAUCUUCACUUUAAAGCUGACGGAGUUGACCCUUUCACGGAUGACCCCAUGCUGCGAGUCUUCAGGGCUGGCACUGCUUGUUCUUAAGCCUUGGAUCUCACAGCAGAUACCCCGCUGAUGAUGCCGCACCUUGACCUUCAGGAUUGAGACCACCCUCCGUGCCUCCAUCAGUCCCUCAGCCUUGUCCUUCCAGCAUCAUGGCAGCCUUCACAGGUCCAAACAAAGCUGUUGAUUCUGUUUCCAGGUAGACGAUGAUUUGAGAGAAAUAUAUAAAGACAGUGUUUUUUAGCCAAUAAGAGAGACUUUAUCAUUAGCUGCUGGUCAUUAUGGAGAUGUUACUACUUUUUAGAGUUUUCUUGAAAAUAUUGUGCAAAAAUGCCAAUAAUAAAAUGAGAAAGCAUCUUUUUUUAAGUUAAUAUCUGUUAAGAUAUCAAUUUCUAGUCACAGUGCCUUCUACUGGCAACAGGUAGGUCAUGCACUUUGCUGAAAAAGUAAACUUCUGAACUCCUUCAACCUUGAUCGAUCAUCAAACUGUACAUGAUCAGUGAAAGACUUCUCUAAUACUGCCCCCAACUGGAUGAAAAAAAUACCAAAGGAACACAUGGCAGAAAAUAUGUUAAUUUGUUUACAUCAAAAUGUGAUCUGUGCAAAAUUUACUAAACCAAACUUGAGGUUGGCCUUUUUUUUAAAUCCGUGGAGAUAUUUCACCUUGAAUGUUAUAAUAUAACAGUGCUGCCUUCAUUUGUUUUGUUUUUUUGUUUUGCCUUUUUUUUUUAACUAUUAAAUAUGUUGAAAUUUUAAUACUUAAACAACAGUCAUCGAACUACUCACAUAUGAACAGGGAGUAAAGCGCUGCCGUGCUCUUUAAAGUGUCUUUUUUCUGCAGAUAUGUUCUCGUCAAACUGCUCGAUUUCGUCUGCAGCAACACAAAAAGAGAAGGUCGCUCUAGAAUCAGCAGAAAACGCACCGACUGCAGCCUUCGGCUGAGGAGUUUGUGGAAAAAUGUGAAAAAGUUUGUUUUCUUUUUUUCUUGCAGGAGGGCAAAGAGGUUCUUUUUUUACAUUCUCAAAUGCUCCGUCGGCCCCACUUCCUACUACUUCCCUCCCUUGUUUUGAAGUAAGACAUUCUACUUUACAGCUCAAGGAGGCCACCUUGAGUCUGGCUGGUAGCCUGGCAACAGAACCGGACGAAAGAAGGAUGGAGGCCACGGGGAGUGGAAUUUCUACCCUGAUUUGUUUCCUUCUUUUUUUUUUUAGGUUUGUUUAUUGAGGGUCAAUGAGCGGAGAGGCAGAGCGGCAUCGUGUACGCCUUGUCUGAACUAUAUUACCUUCAUGGUCACUAAAUACACACAAAGUCUCUUUUUUUCCUUGGGGUCUACAAAGCAUUUGGAACAGAAGUCGGACCUGAACUGCAAAUCGGUCACACACAGACACUUGAUGCCGGCAAAUUUAUACAUUUUAAACUACAUAUUCAAAUUUUGAUUGCAUUUUCUCAUCAUAUUCCCUUUCUAUUCUAUUCAAUUCUGUUCUACUCAGAGAAUCACACUAGGUUAUUAAACUAACAACUACAUCUGGUCUGGGUUUUUUUCUUCAUC